CACUCACUCAGGAGUAAAGGCCGGGAGUCCCCAGUUUUUGGAAACUCCGCCGGUGAUUCUGAUGCAACCUUCGACUGAGGGACGAUUUCACUAGAGGGAUUGUCAGGGCUGAGCCGCAGACAUCCAGUGAAAAGAGCUCACCGUCCAGUGGGGAAAGGGACUUGAUGACAGCAGAUGUGGCAGAGAUGCGUGUGGAUAAAGAAACUGGGCGUUCUACAGUUAAGAUCAUUUAAAUUUGUAU
rnacentral:lncRNA from 1 species